GAGGGGCCCCAGCGACCAGCCACCAUGGAAGGCAGGCACAGGGGGGCUGGGGAGAUGGGCUCCUGAUCCUCCAUACCCAUAUCAUUGGAGACAGCAUAUAUCAUGGCUAGGGUUUUUAUAUAUAUAUAUUGGGGUUUAAUUACCUUUUUUUUUUUUUAAGAAACUUCUCUUGCUGAAUAAUUUUUUGAAACCACCGGACUGAAGGAUUUCUCAUCCCUGUGCUGAAGAAUUGUGGAGUCACAGGACUCAGGGACCUGCCCAGAUUUAAGGGUCUGUGACUUGGGAGAAAUCUUGGUUUCCAAUAUUAAUGGAACAUUUAGCCGGAACCAGGCUGCCUUACACACUUUACACACAUUAACCCAUUCAAUCUUCUCCUAAGCCCUCCAAGAUAGGUCUGCUUGUCAUCACCAUUUUGCGGAUGAAGAAACUAUGGCUCAGAUGGGUUCACUCACUUGCUCAGGGUCACGCAGAGUGAGCUGUUUGAUUCUAAAGCCCAUGUCUAUCCUCCACCAUCCUUGAAGAAGGGAGAGGAAGUCACUAGGUAGUCAUUCUGUCAGCAAGUAUCACCCGCAACCCCAUGUAGCCAAAAACCUGCCAUAUAUAGUGAGGAAUCUCCUCAUACCAUCUCAGGAUCUCAGGACAUAAGUCAAGGGGUUGGUUUCCUAAUUCUCCUUGGAAUUCUAUGUAUCUCAUAAACAUGGGUUCAGAUCUGUUGUUCCAACGUAUUUUUGCAUUUUAUGCUACAUAUUUGGAUUAGGACUUUUUAAACACUAAAAUGAAUUUAUAUAAAGUGAGUAGAUUGUCAUUUUGAACUCAGUGUUUCUUAAUGUUUUCUUACUGGACCUGCAGGAUGAACAAUGCCUCAUUAAACAUUCCAGACAUUCAAGAAAGGAUGAGUGGAAUAAAACUGUCAUUAUUUGUGGAGGAAGGAUUAGCUACAUAGAAACCCCAAAAUAAUAUGCAGAUACAGCGUUUGAAUUAAUAAGAGAGGUCUGCAAGAUUGCUGGAUACAAGAAUCAUUUGCAUUUCUAUAGAAUUUCUAUACAUCAGCAACAAUCAGUUGCAAAAUGUAAAUUUCUUAUAAAGAUGCCCAUUUCUAAUAGGCACCAAAACAUUUUUAAGCACCUAGGAAUGAACACCAAGGAUUCCCACACACAGAGAAAAGUCUACAUAAUGACACAGAGAUAAGGUGGACAUCUGAAAGCCAAGAAGAAAGCCUCAGAAGAAAUCAACCCUCCUGGCAUAUUGUUCUUGGACUUUCAGCCUUUAAGACAGUGAGAAAAUAAAUUUCCAUUUUUUAAAAAGUACUUAGGGGCCAGGCACGGUGGCUCACACCUGUAAUCCUCGUACUUAGGAAGGCCAAAUUGGAUGGAUUGCCUGAGCUCAGGAGUUCGAGACCAGCCCAACAUGGUGAAACCCUGUCACUACUAAAAUACAAAAAGUCAGCUGGGCAUGGUGGCGUACACAUGUAGUCCCAGCUACUCAGGAGGAUGAGGCACAAGAAUUUCAUGAACCUGGGAGGCAGGGGUUGUAGUGAGCUGAGAUUGUACCACUGCACUCCAGCCUAGGUGACAGAGUGAGACUCUGUCUCAAAAAAAAAAAGGACUUGGGAAUAAAUCUAUAAAAGAUACACAAAACUGUCUUAGUCCAUUUUGUAUUCUUAUAAAGGAAUACCCAGGGCUGGGUAAUUUAUAUAUUAAAAAAAAGGCUUAUUUGGCUCAUGAUUCUCAUGACUGGAAAGUUCAAGAUUGGGCAUCUGCAUCUGGUAAGGGCUUCAGACUGCUUCCACUUACGGUGGAAGUUGAAGAGGAGCUGGUGUGUGCAGAGUUCGUAUGUCGAAAGAGGAAGCAAGAGUGUGAGAGGGGAGGGGGAUGCCAGGCUCUUUUUAACAACCAGCUCUUGAGGAAACUAAUGAGUGAGAGUGAAUGAGUGAGAACUCAUUCACUCCUCAGCCACACCUCAAGGAGGGCAUUAAUCUAGUCAUGAGGAACCUGCCCCCAUGACACAGCACUAGGAAACUAGUGUGACUUCCCUCUUCCUCACCCUAGUCCCAGGCCUGUUGCUCAGGAUAGUAAAAAAAUGAAACAACUCUAAUGUCCAUCAACAGAUGCUGGUCCCUCCUGUUGUAUCUCCUCAGGAGGCCUUUCAUGCUAAGUGGCCCUUGGAGCCUGCACUUUUACCUGCCAGUCAACAGACAGUUCCCCAGCUGGGGGUGAGGGUAGAGGAAGGCCUGGAGAUAAGCUUAUCAGCCAUUAGAAAAAUCUGUCUCGGCUGGGCGCGGUGGCUCACGCUUGUAAUCCCAGCACUUUGGGAGGCCGAGGAGGGCGGAUCACGAGGUCAGGAGAUCGAGACCGUCCUGGCUAACACAGUGAAACACCAUCUCUACUAAAAAUACAAAAAGGUUCAAGCGAUUCUCCUGCCUCAGCCUCCCGAGUAGCUGGGAUUACAGGCAUGUACCACCAUGCCCAGCUAAUUUUGUAUUUUUAGUAGAGACGGGGGUUUCUCCAUGUUUGUCAGGCUGGUCUCGAACUCCCAACCUCAGGUGAUCCACCUGCCUCAGCCUCCCAAAAUGCUGGGAUUACAGGCAUGAGCCACCACGCCCGACCAAUAGUUUUAUAUUUAUUUUGAGAUGGAGUCUCGCUCUGUCACUGAGGCUGGAGUGCAGGGUGCGAUCUUGGCUCACUGCAGCCUCUGCCUCCCAGGUUUAAGUAAUUCUCCUGCCUCAGCCUCCCAAGUAGCUGGGAUUACAGGCAUGAGCCACCAAGCCUGGCUAAUUUUUGUGUUUUUAGUAGAGAUGGGGCUUCGCCAUGUUGCCCAGGCGGGUCUUGAACUCCUGGGCUCAAGUGAUCCACCACGCCCAGCCCAGAUUUCAGUAGCUUUAAAUAAGAGAACGAAUGGGAAAGUGCCCUGGAAGGUUUAAAGUAUAAAGUAUACUAAGGAGGUACUUUUGUUUUAGCCUAAAUGGGAAAGAGACUUUCCCAUUAACAUUCUUUAAACAUCUGUCAGAGGUGGCGUUUCCUAUGCUCAUUGAACAGGUAUGGAAACAGGCUCACAGAGCAACUUGCCUCCAGCUACAGAGCCCUGAAGUCUAGGUUUUAAUCAUUGUCUAUGCUGAACGUACGCAGCUGGGACUAGAUCCAUUCAGACAAAAUCCUGGCGAAAGGUGAAGGGCGGUGGGUGAGGGGUGUGGAGUACAAGACGCAGAUGGGAAAGGGCAUGGGCCACUACGGCCAUGGAAAGGGCUUUUUAGUUCCAAGUUACAAUAAGCAUACACUAAGACAGAGGCUUGCUCUGUAGCCCAGACUGGAGUGCAGUGGCACCAUCUCAGGUCACUACAACCUCCGCCUCCCAGGUUCAAGCAGUUCUCCUGCCUCAGCCUCCCUAGUAGCUGGGAUUACAGGUGCCCACCACCACACCCAGCUAAGUUUUUUUGUAUUUUUUAGUAGAGAUGGGGUUUUACCAUGUUGGCCAAGCUUGUCUUGAACUCCUGACCUCAAGUGAUCCGCCUGCCUUGGCCUCCCAAAGUGCUAGGAUUACAGGCAUGAGCCACCGUGCCUGGCCGAGGCCAACAUCUUUAAAAGCCUCCCUGGCAGCGUGUGCACAUGGCCUGGUGAGGACAGGAAGCGCUGGGCAAUGGGGCUGGGAGAGGACGAAUUUGGGGUACACUUCAAAGGUAGAACUGGCAGGGCCUAUUGAGUGUGGGUGAGGAUGACUAAGAGGACUAGUGGUUGACAAUGCUCUGCAAAGGGGUAAAGCAAAAGUCCAGAGCUGUUUCUUGCUGGGGACAUCACUCUCUAGUUUCCUCUUAUAGGUAGUGAGUUACCUAUCACUGGAGGUAUUCAAGCAUAUUCAAACAUAAACUGCAUGGCUUUAAGAGACUGUCUAGUUCCAAUAUUUUAUUUUAUUUUAUUUUUGAGAUGGAGUCUCACUCUCUCACCCAGGCUGGAGUGCAGUGGCAUGAUCUUGGCUCACUGCAACCUCUGCCUUCAAGGUUUAAGUGAUUCUCGUGCCUCAGCCUCCUGAGC
rnacentral:lncRNA from 1 species